CCCAAAAAAAAAAUUUGUCUACAGUCCCAUUUUGUAAAAUAAAUCGUGAAUCGAAUCGUAUCGGGAGUUGAGUGAAUCGUUACAUCCCUAAUAUACACACAUUAUACAUUAUACACACACACAUUAUAUAUACACACAUUAUACACACAUCAGACACACACACUAUAUAUAUAUACACACAUUAUACAUUAUACACAUAUUAGACACACACACACAUUAUAUAUACACACAUUAUACAUUAUACACACACGCACGCACACACAUCAUAUAUACACACACUAUACACACAUCAGACACACACACUAUAUAUAUAUACACACAUUAUACAUUAUACACAUAUUAGACACACACACACAUUAUAUAUACACACAUUAUACAUACACACACAUUAUACACACACGCACGCACACACAUCAUAUAUACACACAUUAUACACACAUCAGACACACACACACACACACACACACAUUAUAUAUACACACACAUUAUACACACACACACAUUAUAUAUACACACAUUAUACAUUAUACACACAUUAGACACACACACACAUUAUCUAUACACACAUUAUACACACACACACAUUAUAUAUACACACAUUAUACACACACACAUUAUACACACAUUAUACAUACACACAUUAUACAUUAUACACACACACACAUUAUACACACAUCAGACACACACACACACCCACACAUUAUAUAUACACACAUUAUACACACAUUAGACACACACACACAUUAUAUAUACACACAUUAUACACACAUUAGACACACACACACAUUAUCUAUACACACAUUAUACACACACACACAUUAUAUAUACACACAUUAUACAUUAUACACACACACACAUUAUACACACAUCAGACACACACACACACACACACACACACAUUAUAUAUACACACACACACAUUAUAUAUACACACAUUAUACAUUAUACACACAUUGGACACACACACACACACACACAACAGUCAGCAUCGCCCUCUGCAUUAAAAGCACCAAAAACACAGAAAAUUACACUAUAAACAACAUAAAUGAAAC
rnacentral:lncRNA from 1 species